UCAGUUUUUAAGUUUCGAUGUAAACUACUCCUACAAAAUUAUCGGUGAAGAUUUUUCGUUGCAUCAAUUCACAAUCAACGCACAUAAGACAAUACGUAAGCCGAUCGUUGUACAAUUCACAGCAAAGUGCGAGCUAUAUCUUUGUUAAGUAACAGCAAAAAGAAAACAUCUGCUGGCCUCGGAAAUGUUGUUAAGAUUUGACACACUUCCGAUCUAUUUUGACGAGCAUUUAGCCCCAGAACACUCGCCAUUUUGUGUGCUACAAAAUUCUAGACUAUUUGCCAACAAGGUGCCACGGACGAUGAUAAAUAUAAAAGGAAGAAAUUCAACUCCACUUUUCCGGGAUAAAAUAUUCCUGUUCCCCGAGAUGAAUUAGAAUAUGCAAAUUGAGUACCAUUGCCUGGUAUAUUCUUCCAUACUAUUUCAUAAUAGCUCCAUCUAUUGAUUCGUAAAGUAACUGCGCGUGUAGAUCGAAUUUUAGGUCAACAUCAAAAAAUAUCUCGAGUAUUUAAUUAAAUGCAAUACUAGCUGGAAGUUUAAGUGAGAACGGCAAGUUCAGUGUGUUUAUUUUCUAGCUUAAUUGUCAGAAAAAUAAACAGAAAAACUGAAUGCAAUCACAAUGAAUUUUAUUAAAAUUAUUAUUACAUUAGAAAAAGAUU